AAGACACUAGUAGAAUGUGAUAAUGACACCGCCUUGUUCAAGGCGGGGAUGCGGGUUUGAACCCCGCGUGUCUU
rnacentral:tRNA from 1 species